rnacentral:rRNA from 2 species
GGACUACCGGGGUAUCUAAUCCUGUUUGCUCCCCACGCUUUCGCACCUGAAUGUCAGUGUUGGACCAGGAAGCCGCCUUCGCCACUGAUGUUCCUCCAGAUAUCUACGCAUUUCACCGCUACACCUGGAAUUCCGCUUCCCUCUUCCACACUCAAGCAAUGCAGUUUCGAAUGCAGUUCCCAGGUUGAGCCCGGGGCUUUCACACCCGACUUACAAAGCCAUCUACGUGCGCUUUACGCCCAGUAAUUCCGAUUAACGCUCGCACCCUCUGUAUUACCGCGGCGGCUGGCAC